rnacentral:rRNA from 1 species
AGAGUUUGAUCCUGGCUCAGGAUGAACGCUGGCGGCGUGCCUAAUACAUGCAAGUCGAACGAAUCUUCUUCGGAAGAUGAGUGGCGAACGGGUGAGUAAUACAUAGGUAACCUGCCCCUGUGCGGGGGAUAACAGGAGGAAACUCCUGCUAAUACCGCAUAGCCAUGAGCACCGCAUGGAGCUCAUGCCAAAUAUCCUUUCGGGGAUAGCGCAGGGAUGGACCUAUGGCGCAUUAGCUUGUUGGCGGGGCAACGGCCCACCAAGGCAACGAUGCGUAGCCGGCCUGAGAGGGCGGACGGCCACAUUGGGACUGAGACACGGCCCAGACUCCUACGGGAGGCAGCAGUAGGGAAUUUUCGGCAAUGGGGGAAACCCUGACCGAGCAACGCCGCGUGAGCGAAGAAGGCCUUCGGGUCGUAAAGCUCUGUUGUAAAGGAAGAACGGCGCAUACAGGAAAUGGUAUGCGAGUGACGGUACUUUACCAGAAAGCCACGGCUAACUACGUGCCAGCAGCCGCGGUAAUACGUAGGUGGCGAGCGUUAUCCGGAAUCAUUGGGCGUAAAGAGGGAGCAGGCGGCCGCAAGGGUCUGUGGUGAAAGACCGAAGCUAAACUUCGGUAAGCCAUGGAAACCGGGCGGCUAGAGUGCGGAAGAGGAUCGUGGAAUUCCAUGUGUAGCGGUGAAAUGCGUAGAUAUAUGGAGGAACACCAGUGGCGAAGGCGACGGUCUGGGCCGCAACUGACGCUCAUUCCCGAAAGCGUGGGGAGCAAAUAGGAUUAGAUACCCUAGUAGUCCACGCCGUAAACGAUGGUCACUAAGUGUCGGGGGUCAAACCCCGGUGCUGCAGUCAACGCAAUAAGUGACCCGCCUGAGUAGUACGUUCGCAAGAAUGAAACUCAAAGGAAUUGACGGGGGCCCGCACAAGCGGUGGAGCAUGUGGUUUAA